rnacentral:rRNA from 1 species
UUAAACGGUCGCGGUAUUUUGACCGUGCANAGGUAGCGCAANCACUUGUCCCUUACAUGAGGACCUGUWUGAAUGGUGAAACGAGGGCUUAACUGUCUCCCUUNUCAAGUCARUGANAUUGAUCUGCCCGUGCAGAAGCGGGCAUAACCAUACAAGACGAGAAGACCCUUUGGAGCUUAAGAGAAAAGNCUAACUACGUUAAGAAUAAACCAAUUAARCUAAGUAGAAACUAGUCUAAAAUCUAUGGUUGGGNCGACCACGGAAGAAAAUAAAGCUCCCAUGAGGACCGGACUAAUAACCURAAACCAAGNAAGACAUCUCUAAGUCUCAGAAUAUCUGACCACCACUGAUCCGGCCUAGGCCGAUCAACGAAACAAGUUACCCAAGGGAUAACAGCGCAAUCCCCUUUGAGAGUCCUUAUCGACAAGGGGGUUUACGACCUCGAUGUUGGAUCAGGACAUCCUAAUGGUG